GACAGAGGUGCCAAGCGUUAGGCGGAAUCACUGGGCUUAAAGCGUGUGUAGGCGGAUUCCUAAGUACCUUGUGAAAUCCCACGGCUCAACCGUGGAACGGCUUGGUAUACUGGGUGUCUUGAGCCACUUAGGGGCGACCGGAACAAAUGGUGGAGCGGUGAAAUGCGUAGAUAUCAUUUGGAACGCCAAUGGUGAAAACAGGUCGCUGGGAGUGUGCUGACGCUGAGACACGAAAGCCAGGGGAGCGAACGG
rnacentral:rRNA from 1 species